rnacentral:lncRNA from 1 species
CUUUUGCUAGUCUUGCAGAAGAUGUCUUCAGUGAUGUGACUGCCGCUGACAUCAAACAGCAUAAGUGGCUGGUUUCUGUGCUAGAUUGAAAUUCAUCCAGCGCCCUGCGUUCACAGUGAUGACUCUCGAUGCUAAUUCUCAACUAUCUUCUUCUGUUCUUAAUGGAAAACAUCACCUAAGUAACAGCAAUAAUAUCUAAUGAUAAACUGCAAAUGACAACUAUUGUCAGCAAUAAAAGAAUCUAGAACAACUCCGAGGGACUCA